GGGAAGUUCUGAGACUGAGGCCUCCUGCCGCCCUAACUGGGCCGGGCCCUCCCUGAGUGAGGAGGUGAGUUCCCAGAGAACAUGGUUCCACACGUGGGCAGACUGUACAGGAAAGGCCCCAAGUGGGCGGAUGCCUCCCUCACUGGAGCCUGGAACAGCACAGAGUGAGUUAAAUGACUGAGGUGACAAGCUACUACAACUAGGUUCUCUGAAAGAGAUAAUUCAG
ensembl:ribozyme RNaseP_nuc Nuclear RNase P